UACGUAGGGCGCAAGCGUUGUCCGGAAUUAUUGGGCGUAAAGAGCUCGUAGGCGGCUUGUCGCGUCGAUUGUGAAAGCCCGGGGCUUAACUCCGGGUCUGCAGUCGAUACGGGCAGGCUAGAGUGUGGUAGGGGAGAUCGGAAUUCCUGGUGUAGCGGUGAAAUGCGCAGAUAUCAGGAGGAACACCGGUGGCGAAGGCGGAGCUCUGGGCCAUUACUGACGCUGAGGAGCGAAAGCGUGGGGAGCGAGCAGG
rnacentral:rRNA from 1 species